CGGCGAGCGGCGGACGGCUGAGUAACGCGUGGGAACGUACCCCAAAGUGAGGGAUAACGCAUCGAAAGGUGUGCUAAUACCGCAUAUGGUCUUCGGAUUAAAGCCUUCGGGCGCUUUGGGAACGGCCUGCGUAAGAUUAGAUAGUUGGUGGGGUAAUGGCCUACCAAGUCAACGAUCUUUAACUGGUUUGAGAGGAUGAUCAGUCAGACUGGAACUGAGACACGGUCCAGACUCCUACGGGAGGCAGCAGUGAGGAAUCUUCCACAAUGGGCGAAAGCCUGAUGGAGCAACGCCGCGUGCAGGAUGAAGGCCUUCGGGUUGUAAACUGCUUUUAUAAGUGAGGAAUAUGACAGUAACUUAUGAAUAAGGAUCGGCUAACUACGUGCCAGCAGCCGCGGUCAUACGUAGGAUCCGAGCGUUAUCCGGAAUUAUUGGGCGUAAAGCGCGCGUAGGCGGUUUUUUAAGUCUGAUGUGAAAGCCCACGGCUCAACCGUGGAGGGUCAUUGGAAACUGGAAAACUUGAGUGCAGAAGAGGAAAGUGGAAUUCCAUGUGUAGCGGUGAAAUGCGCAGAGAUAUGGAGGAACACCAGUGGCGAAGGCGACUUUCUGGUCUGUAACUGACGCUGAUGUGCGAAAGCGUGGGGAUCAAACAGGAUUAGAUACCCUGGUAGUCCACGCCGUAAACGGUGAGUGCUAAGUGUUAGGGGGUUUCCGCCCCUUAGUGCUGCAGCUAACGCAUUAAGCACUCCGCCUGGGGAGUACGACCGCAAGGUUGAAACUCAAAGGAAUUGACGGGGACCCGCAUAAGCGGUGGAGCAUGUGGUUUAAUUCGAAGCAACGCGAAGAACCUUACCAAAUCUUGACAUCCUUUGACCCUUCUAGAGAUAGAAGUUUCCCCUUCGGGGGACAAAGUGACAGGUGGUGCAUGGUUGUCGUCAGCUCGUGUCGUGAGAUGUUGGGUUAAGUCCCGCAACGAGCGCAACCCUUAAGCUUAGUUGCCAUCAUUAAGUUGGGCACUCUAAGUUGACUGCCGGUGACAAACCGGAGGAAGGUGGGGAUGACGUCAAAUCAUCAUGCCCCUUAUGAUUUGGGCUACACACGUGCUACAAUGGACAAUACAAAGGGCAGCGAAACCGCGAGGUCAAGCAAAUCCCAUAAAGUUGUUCUCAGUUCGGAUUGUAGUCUGCAACUCGACUACAUGAAGCUGGAAUCGCUAGUAAUCGUAGAUCAGUAUGCUACGGUGAAUACGUUCCCGGGUCU
rnacentral:rRNA from 1 species